UGAGGAAUCUGUCCAUCGGCGGGGGAUAGCCGGCCCAACGGCCGGGUAAUACCGCGUACGACCACAUGGGGGACAUCCCUGAGUGGUGAAAGCAGCAAUGCGCCGAUGGAGUGCCUCGCGGCCUAUCAGCUAGUUGGUGAGGUAACGGCUCACCAAGGCAACGGACGGGUAGCUGGUCUGAGAGGACACCAGCCCACACUGGAACUGAGAUACGGUCCAGACCUCGUACGGGGAGG
rnacentral:rRNA from 1 species